GCUGCAACCGUCUCUCUCUCUCAUGAAUCUCUCCAAUCUCUCCACCAAAUCUACUACUCCUCUAUAAUACAGAUUUCACUCUUCGUUUCUUUCUUCCCAUCCCUGCAGCAAAACAGAACUUCUCUUCAAAUUCCUACUCAAGGACCGAGAAAGAGAAUCAAGCCACACACUCUUUUCCAUCCACUGCUAGUCUCCAUUACCAAUCUGACUAGAGAAACCAAGAGAAAGGAAGAUAGAAGUCACAAUCUCUAUUAUUUACAGCUUACCCGUCUCAGAUUAGUGAAGGUGAUAUCUCGCAAGGGAAUCGUGAUCGCAAAGGAAAGAAAAUAGUUUUGGAAUAAGCAC